UACGUAGGCAGCGAGCGUUGUUCGGAGUUACUGGGCGUAAAGGGUGCGUAGGCGGUUGUUUUAAGUUUGGUGUGAAAUCUCCCGGCUCAACUGGGAGGGUGCGCCGAAUACUGAAUGACUAGAGUGCGGGAGAGGAUAGUGGAAUUCCUGGUGUAGCGGUGAAAAUGCGUAGAUAUCAGGAGGAACACCGGUGGUGUAGACGGCUAUCUGGACCGUAACUGACGCUGAGGCACGAAAGCGUGGGUAGCAAACAGG
rnacentral:rRNA from 1 species